AAGUCGUAACAAGGUUUCCGUAGGUGAACCUGCGGAAGGAUCAUUAAAGAGAUAGGGUCUUCAUGGCCCGACCUCCAACCCUCUGUUGUUAAAACUACCUCGUUGCUUUGGCGGGACCGCUCGGUCUCGAGCUGCUGGUCUUCGGCCCGGCAAGUGCCCGCCAGAGUCUACUCAAACUCUUGUUUUAACCGGUCGUCUGAGUUAAACUUUGAAUUAAAUUAAAA
rnacentral:misc_RNA from 1 species